rnacentral:rRNA from 1 species
AGUGAACGCUGGCGGUAGGCCUAACACAUGCAAGUCGAACGGCAGCACAGUAAGAGCUUGCUCUUACGGGUGGCGAGUGGCGGACGGGUGAGGAAUACAUCGGAAUCUACUUUUUCGUGGGGGAUAACGUAGGGAAACUUACGCUAAUACCGCAUACGACCUACGGGUGAAAGCAGGGGACCUUCGGACCUUGCGCGAUUGAAUGAGCCGAUGUCGGAUUAGCUAGUUGGCGGGGUAAAGGCCCACCAAGGCGACGAUCCGUAGCUGGUCUGAGAGGAUGAUCAGCCACACUGGAACUGGGACACGGUCCAGACUCCUACGGGAGGCAGCAUUGGGGAAUAUUGGCCAAUGGGCGCAAGCCUGAUCCAGCCAUACCGCUUGGGUGAAGAAGGCCUUCGGGUUUUAAAGCCCUUUUGUUGGGAAAGAAAAGCAGCAGGUUAAUACCCCGCUGUUCUGACGGUACCCAAAGAAUAAGCACCGGCUAACUUCGUG